AGAUUUGGUCCAGAAAACAAACCCAGCAUGAAGAUCCUUAAAUUUGCUGUUUGCAAUCCUUUUUGUUGCAUUCCUGUAUGAACCAGGAAUUGCUGGCCAAAACUGCCGUGUAGGAGCAGUGAGAGGAUUUUGCACUUCCCGUUGGAGCCGGGGCUGUAUUAGGAGUGUUAAUUGUCCACGAAGUUGGUGGUGCUGUCCAGGAUAUGGAAAAUAAUGCCAUCUCCAACUUCCACCAUGGAUAUCUUGAAGAUCUGGCCAAUGACCCAACAUUACUACCUGCUACUGCUUUAUCUUUCUUUAUAUAAAUAAAAUUGCUAUCUAGCAAACUCUAAAACAUUUAUGCAUUUUUUAAAAAAAAUUGGCAAAUAUUUCUUGAAAUAAAGCUAUAUGAGCAUUG